rnacentral:tRNA from 1 species
GCCUAGCUGGCUCAGUCAGUAGAGCAUGUGACUUUUGAUCUUGGGGCCAGGAGUUCAAGCUCCAUUUUGGGCU